GCACAUGUGGUGAAAUUGGUAGACACGCAGCCUUGAGGGGGCUGUGUUCGCAAGAACGUGCUGGUUCGAGUCCAGUCAUGUGCA
rnacentral:tRNA from 1 species